GCUCCAGUGGCGCAAUCGGUCAGCGCGCAGGUACUUAUAAUGCCGAGGUUGUGAGUUCAAGCCUCACCUGGAGCA